rnacentral:misc_RNA from 1 species
ACACCUGUAAGAUCAUCAACCAUACUUCCUGGAUAUAUUUCUUUAAGAGGUGGUAGAAUUGCAGGUACACAUGUCUGUAAGUGGAAGACAACUAACAAGCUUAGAGAAUAAGAGUUCAAAGUUCCAGUCUUAGAAUCAUUGAUAUUAUGUGCCUUAGCCCAUUCUUUCACCAGUAAGACCAUAUCACGAAAUCUUCCAUCAAUCAUGUUGAUCCAGUAUAAUAUCUUGGACUUCAUUUGGCCGCUCAAAUUAUUGAUUGAUAUAUCACAAGAAAUAUUGUUAUUGCCCUGAAACUUCAAGAUUGGGACUCGUGCAUUGGUAAUAAAUUGCAGCUUUCGGCAUCCACCUUUAGCUCUCAAAGCUUUUAGUACAUCCCCUA